AUUGAACGCUGGCGGCAGGCCUAACACAUGCAAGUCGAACGAGUGGCGGACGGGUGAGUAAUGUCUGGGAAACUGCCUGAUGGAGGGGGAUAACUACUGGAAACGGUAGCUAAUACCGCAUACCAUCAGAUUUGCCCAGAUGGGAUUAGCUUGUUGGUGGGGUAACGGCUCACCAAGGCGACGAUCCCUAGCUGGUCUGAGAGGAUGACCAGCAACAUGGGAACUGAGAAAGGGUCCAUACUCCAACGGGAGGAAGCAGUGGGGAAUAUUGCACAAUGAGGGCAAGCCUGAUGCGGCCAUGCCGCGUGUAUGAAGAAGGCCUUCGGGUUGUAAAGUACGUUCAGCGGGGAGGCGUUACCCGCAGAAGAAGCACCGGCUAACUCCGUGCCAGCCGCCGCGGUAAUAC
rnacentral:rRNA from 1 species